UAUCUACUCCCUCCGUCCCAAAUUUCUUUUCUUAGGUUUGUCUAGAAAUGGAUGUAUCAAAAUACUAAAACAUGACUAGAUACAUCCAUAUCCUGAUUAAUUAUCUACUAGUCAUGUUUUAGUAUUUUGAUACAUCCAUAUCUAAACAAAUCUAAGACAANNNUUUUGGGACGGAGGGAGUACUUU
rfam:Hordeum vulgare subsp. vulgare, WGS project CAJW01000000 data, contig: morex_contig_369038